AUGGAGAAGAUCAAGUUCAGACUGCAGAUGAGAGGAUUUGCAGGUGUCUCAAGUGAUGGGUUGAGUGGGGGCCUAGCCCUCUAUUGGGAUGAAAAUUUGCAAAUGACAGUUUUGGACUCGUGUGCACGGUAUAUAGAUGUGUGUAUUGAGGAUGCAGCAAAUGAUAAAACAUGGAGGACAACCUACGUGUAUGGAGAGCCACGGGUGGAGAAUAGGCAUCGUAUGUGGUACGUGCCAUAUCCACGGAGCCGUGGCUUGUGUGUGGGGAUUUUAAUGAAGCCAUGUGGCAACAUGAACACGUUUCUCGAAUGCAACGAUCUGAGGGUCAGAUGCAGCAGUUCAGGGACUGCCUACUGGCUUGUGAGUUAA
rnacentral:rRNA from 1 species